rnacentral:ribozyme from 1 species
GACGGCACCUUUUACAAGGAGCCGCGGAUGGUCACCCAUAUUGCGGACUCCACCAUCGAAGCCUUGACCAUGUUUUAUCGUGACUUUCUCCCGGAGAAGUCUGCUAUCCUAGACCUCUGCUCCUCCUGGACCUCUCACCUCCCA